rnacentral:rRNA from 1 species
GAUGAACGCUGGCGGCGUGCCUAAUACAUGCAAGUCGAGCGGUAAGGCCUCUUCGGAGGUACACGAGCGGCGGACGGCUGAGUAACACGUAGGAACGUACCCCAAAGUGAGGAAUAAGCACCAGAAAUGGUGUCUAAUACCGCAUGUGCUCUAAGGAGUAAAGCUCCGGCGCUUUGGGAACGGCCUGCGCAUGAUUAGCUUGUUGGUGAGGUAAAAGCUCACCAAGGCGACGAUCAUUAGCUGGUCUGAGAGGAUGAUCAGCCAGACUGGGACUGAGACACGGCCCAGACUCCUACGGGAGGCAGCAGUAGGGAAUUUUCCACAAUGGGCGAAAGCCUGAUGGCGCAACGCCGCGUGCAGGAUGAAUGCCUUCGGGUUGUAAACUGCUUUUAUAUGUGACGAUUAUGACGGUAGCAUAUGAAUAAGGAUCGGCUAACUCCGUGCCAGCAGCCGCCGUAA